GAUGAACGCUAGCGGCAGGCUUAAUACAUGCAAGUCGAGGGGUAGCAAGAUUGUAGCAAUACAAUUGUUGACGACCGGCAAACGGGUGCGGAACACGUACACAACCUUCCUACAAGUGGGGAAUAGCCCAGAGAAAUUUGGAUUAAUACCCCGUAACAUAGCGAUGUGGCAUCACAUUGCUAUUAUAGCUUCGGCGCUUGUUGAUGGGUGUGCGGCUGAUUAGAUAGUUGGCGGGGUAACGGCCCACCAAGUCUACGAUCAGUAGCUGAUGUGCGAGCAUGAUCAGCCACACGGGCACUGAGACACGGGCCCGACUCCUACGGGAGGCAGCAGUAAGGAAUAUUGGACAAUGGACGCAAGUCUGAUCCAGCCAUGCCGCGUGAAGGAUUAAGGUCCUCUGGAUUGUAAACUUCUUUUAUAAGGGACGAAAAAAGGUCUUUCUAGAUCGUCUGACGGUACCUUAUGAAUAAGCACCGGCUAACUCCGUGCCAGCAGCCGCGGUAACAC
rnacentral:rRNA from 1 species